AUUAAGGAACCUACUGAAAUUUACAAGGAUUUAAUUUUACUGUUAACACAGGAAAGGUAUUUAAGUGGUAGUAUUUUUAGGAAAAGGGCAGAUGUAGCAAGUAGAUGUUUAAUCACACAGUAUACUGGGUGAUUACAUAGGUACAGAGGCAUACUUUCCCUUACUGGUAAACUAUUUUUCAUUAUUUGAAAUUAAUUUAGUUGAAUGUAUAAAGAAUUACUUGUAAAUCUUACAUACUGAUUUCAGAAGUAAAGUAGAUUUGGGUUGCCUAGCAAGUAGAUUCUGAUUCUGAUUAUUUAUGCAUUUAUCAAAGAAUAAAACUAGAUGCCUAAGUUGAAUUUUCAUGAUUUAUUUUGAACCUUAACAAUUAUGUUUUAUUUUAGGAUGUGGGGAAAAGAGAGUUUGUGGAAGCUGAUGAGGUGGAUGAGAGUGACAUAAGUGAUUUUGAGGAUAUGGAUAAACUGGAUGCCAGCAGUGAUGAAGAUCAGGAUGAGAAAUCCUCCAGUGAGGAUGAAGAAAAGGCCCUUGAUGCCAAACACAAAGGCAAAACGCCCUUGAAAGGACCUCUGCUGAGAAAACGAGCAUAUGUGGAGAUCGAGUAUGAGCAGGAGACUGAGCCUGUGGCCAAGGCCAAAACCACGUGAUUUCCCUUCAGAGAUUUAUAGCAGGACUGAACAUUUUGAACUUUAUCCUGUCCUCAUCACACACAGACCUCCAUUUUUACUCUUUAUGUUGUAUUUAACGCAAUAUUUGUGUUUUUGAUAUUUAUGCCACUUCUAUGGGGCAAGAAAUCUGGGAGAGAGUGGAGGAAAUCUUUAAAGUUGUAAACAGAGUAUUUUUAUAGCUUUGGCAUGUGUUGAGGUGACAGCUUGAGCCCAAGAAGCUUAACAGAUGAGUUUGUGGUUGUAAAUAUUUCUAAGUUUUAAAUGCUACCCACCCUGGGUGCCCCCCAACUUUAUUCAGAAAAGUUCUGACUUUUUUUUUCUUGUCCCUUCCCUACUUCUUUGGGAGUAAAAGGAAAAAGAUCUAGAUUAUAAUGUAUAACAAUACCUUCUUUCUCAAAUAAUUCCACUUAUACAACAAGAAAAUCCUCUUCUCUUUAAGAAAUAUGGAUCUCAAGUCCCACUGUAGGGCUCGCUGUCAGAAACCCGCUGCACCUUUCUGAUACAGCUCACCACCUUGCUGUCUUCGCAGCUUUGGGGGAUUUUGGCCAGGAGACCCUGAAACAUGAAACCAAACAGUCUUUGAUAUUUUUUGUUAUUUUUUUUCUUAUACCUUGGUUCUUCUUUCCUGGUACCAUACUCAAAGAAGGAAAGACUGGAUGACACUAGAGGCCAGUUCACAGAACAAGUGUAACUAAGAACUGUUGGCUUGCUUGGAAAUGUCCUGCUGCUCAUGAAGCAGCAGCUUAAUACCAGCUGAGGCGAAUUACAUUGGAUCUAGGACUUGAAAACUGCCUGAGGUUAAAGGGCCGAGAUGAAAUUUAAUCUGACAAAACUAAUAAAACAACAAACUAUACUAUCUCUAAA